UACGGGGGGAGCAAGCGUUGUUCGGAUUUACUGGGCGUAAAGGGCGCGUAUGCGGCCACGACAAGUCAGUUGUGAAAUCUCUGGGCUUAACUCAGAACGGUCAACUGAUACUGUCGGGCUAGAGUGCAGAAGGGGCAACUGGAAUUCUCGGUGUAGAGGUGAAAUUCGUAGAUAUCAAGCAGAACACCUGCGGCGAAGGCGGCCUUCUGGACGAUGACUGACGCUGAGACGCGAAAGCGUGGGGAGCAAACAGG
rnacentral:rRNA from 1 species